UCCCAUUGUGCAGAAGGGUACAGUGAGGCCAGAGGGGGAUAUCCCGGGCAGAGCCGCCCACUUCUGAGGGGCGUGGCAACCUUCCUGCCUUUGCAAGGCGGGUGCCCCUGCCGGGAAGGGAUAUUCUUCCUCUAAGUCACGGUCAGUGCUGUCGCCACAGAUCUGGCCCUGUGUUCAGGGCGUCACUUCCUCAGGAGCCCUUCCGGGCUGAGAGGGCAGGGUCAGUGCCCCAGGGUUUCCUCUUGUGUAACGUGUAUCCCAUUCACUCCCACGUCUUUCCUCCGGGCCUCCCAAGGAGGGGCAGGCUUUGCUGCCUUACCUGGCACGUGGUCGUUGCCCAAUGAGCCACGGCAGAGUCACCUCCGGUAGACACCUCCAACCCCCAGAGGCCCAGCCACCUGCUGCAGGGUGGCAGUAAACCUGAAACAAGGUUGGUACCUGGCACACAGUAGGUGCUUUCCCAUGCACCCCCACCCCACCGCCUGGCGCCUGGAUUCACAUUUCGGCCCAGCCUCGAGGUCAGCGGCCCGUUCUGCCCUGUGCUGGGAGGAAUGUUCGUGGUGGCCUCGGCCCGGGUCCGAGAAGAAAGGCAGCCUUGUGGGCGAAAGGCAACAUGUAUUUUCUACAUGAUCAGCUCUAAGCGGAAUCUCAGAGAUGUCAUAUUUACUCUUCACGCUAAUUCGCCCCUCCUGAAGCUGGUUUCCUUGUGUCAGCUCACCAGCAAUGCUGCUGACAAGGAAACUGAGACCCAGAGCCAAUCAGCUGUCCUGCAGGGUGAGCGGGAACAGCUUCACCAGGAGCUUGUUAAAAAAACAAGCCCCAAACCUCCUUUCUUUGUUUCUCUCUGAAUGCAAAAGAGAAAUGUGUUCGUUGCAGAAACUUUAGAAAAUAAAGAAAAUAACAAAGUUAGAAAAGAAAAAAGAAAAUAAAGCCUUCCUCCCCUGGACCCCACCCCCCAGCCUGCCAUGGGGAUACGGACCAGGUUUGGACUUCUGGGUGAGCUGGAUUCCUCUCCACCUCCGUGCCUAACUUGCUGCGUGACCUCAGGCAAGUCACUCAGCCUCUCUGGGCCCCUGCAUCCUCAUCCAUAACUGGGGUUACCAAAGGCACCAGCCUUGAAAGGCUGUUGUGAGAAUCAAAUGAAAUCACGUGGGUACAGGGUAGCCCAAAAUAAAAUGCUUUAUAGGGGGUGGCUGUGGCAAGCUUUCCCUGACACCUGUGCAGCUGAAUCCAGUACUUUCUCAUUGACUCUGCCCCCCUAAGUGAGGUCUAGUAUGUUUUAUUCCGCUCCACCGAGGCCCACAGCCCAAAGACUCCCAGGACCCAGGUGUCCAGACCCCACUCCACUCCCAUCCCACACGGAUCACACAGCAACCCCUCCACAGUCCCUGGACCCAGUGGCUCAGGCCAGAAACCCCCAUCCAACCUGUCAGCACCUCCCGUCUGCGCCUACUUCAAACUAGAUCCAGAGCCAACCACUUCUCCUUACCACCUCCCACCAGCCUCCCUGGCUGGACUAUCGAAGACCCCUCCUCUCCCGUCUCCCCACUUCCCGUCUCGCUUCCUGACAGCCUCUUACAGGCCAACAGGGUGCUUCUGCCCCCCUCCCCCCAUCCCCGGGGGACAUGUGGCCAUGUCUGAGGCACUCUGAUUGCCACAACAGGCAAAGGGAUGUGUACUGGUCCAGAAGGUAGAGGCCGGGGUGCUGCCAAACAUCCCACAGUGCUCGGGACGGCGCCACGACAGAGACCGCUCCAGCCCUGGCAUCAGUGGUGCUGAGGAUAGGACUUCACAUUAGACCCAAGUCACGUCUACUCUGUGCUAUUACCUUGCAUGGCUCACUCCCACCUCAUCCAGAGAACAACCAGAGUCCUCAGAGUGUCCACAAGGCCGCGUGGGUUGUGCUCCCUCCUGCCCUCCGCCCUUGGCUCCACGCCGGCUCCUCCCUCCUCCUUGCCCCUGAAGCCAACGUCACACCUCGGGCCUUUCCUCUGCUUCCUCAAAUGUCCUUUCCCAGACAUCUAACACGCCCUCCUCCCUUCUGAUUCUCUGUCAAAUGUCACCUCCUCCAGGAGGCCGCCCUGAUCUGUUUAAUAUCUGCCACUCCCUGAACUGCUCUGCCUUCUUUCUCCCUGGCACUGGGUCCCCACAUCUUACAGAUUUGUUUGUGGGGUUGCCCUGCCUGGAACACACGCUCCAUCAGGGAGAGACAGGACUGUUUUUUUUUUUUUCCCAGGGCCGCACCCGCUGCAUAUGGAGGUUCCUAGGCUAGGGCUUGAAUCAGAGCUACAGCUGCCGGCCUAUACCACAGCCACGACAAUGCCAGAUCCGAGCUGUGUCUGCGACCUACACCACAGGUCAUGACAACGCCGGAUCCUUGACCCACUGAGCAAGGCCAGGGAUUGAACCCACAUCCUCAUGGAUCCUAGUCGGGUUCAUUAACCACUCAGCCAUGACAGGAACUCCAGGGCUGGUCUUAUUUACCACUGAGAAUGUAUACAGCCCCCCUGCACACAGUAGGUGCUCAAUAAAU
rnacentral:lncRNA from 9 species